GAGAGAGAGAGAGAGUGGAGGUGGAGAUCGGGGGGAGAGAGAGAGAGUUUGGGAAGGAGAGAGAGACUGAUAAGAGAUGGAUGAGUUUUAAUUUAAUUAACAGGGGCUAAAAUGUCAAUAGAUGUAAGAUUGGGUAAAUGGGGUUAAAAAACUCUUGGUGGAGUAAGUGGGCAUUUUUUGGGCUAAAAAUGGGUAACUGGUCACAGCCCCUACAUAAUAUUCUUGCAGGUCGAAGAACUAUGACUCUCAGUGACAGCGCGUUUCAGGUGGGAUCAUACUUGCACCGGAAGGCAUCAAUGGCAGCAUAUGUGGGAGCAGAGAGUCGGUGGAGAAAGUUCUGGAGUUCAUUCAAAGUGAUGACCGCGUAAGGGGGCUGAGAAGAUUGGAGUCACGUGUGAGUCCAGAGGAUGAAGCUAUUCAUCAUGGACACAGUAGCAGUUCUCCUUUGGUAGCAGGGGAAGAUGCACCCUUCUGAUGGGAUCACGUUAGGGUCAAGUUGAAGGAGCAGAUUGUUGCUCUGGGCAUGCCUGCUGUAUCACCUACUGAAAAGGUUGGAAAGUAUGUGAGUCCAAGGGAAUGGAAUGAACUGAUUAGUGAUCCAGAUACGAUACAUAAAGACUACAAGAUCAAAGCUAACCAAAAGGCUCUAUGAUGUGCGACUUUUUUAUGGGAAAUGGUUAGCAUGUGGCAUCACAUCAAGCUAUAAUCAGCCCCUUCAAGUACUCAUGUAAUCAAUCUGAAGACAAUUCUAAUCUAGCUAGUAUGUUCUAUAUUUAAAAACCAGUUUAAUUAUACUAUGAUUUUGUAAUAUGAAUUUAUUUAAUUGAUCUACAUGAAUGCUUUUGUUUA